rnacentral:rRNA from 1 species
UGGUGGAGUGAUUUGUCUGGUUAAUUACGAUAACGAACGAGACCUCAGCCUGCUAAUUAGUUGGGUGAAUGAUAACGACAUGGGGGUUGCUGGCAGAGUGCCUGGGUUUCGGCUUGGGAUCUGACAGGAAAACCUGUUUUCAUUCAUCAUUUUCGAAUUAACUUCUUAGAGGGACACUUGGUGUUUAACCAAGGGAAGUUUGAGGCAAUAACA